rnacentral:tRNA from 1 species
GCCUAGCUGGCUCAGUGGGAAGAGCAUGCGAUUCUUGAUCUUAGGGUUUUGAGUUCGAGCCUCAUGUUGGGUG